GCCGAUCACCCAUGAGAUGCCACCCACCUUUCCCAAUGCCAAUUUUAGAUUGGCAUGAUGGAUCUCCACCCUAAGAAGCCUUGUUGCCCACUCUUGAUAGGGAUCAAGAGUUUGGAUCAAUUGGUUGAUCCAAUUGAAUUCAAAUUUAAUUUGCAUUCGAGUGUAGAUGAAAAAUUUGUUCUCAUCCAAACACCUCCACUCCACAUCUAUAUAAACCCCUGAUUUUUAUGGAACAAAUAUCAGAAUAUAGAGAUUGUUGACAG
rnacentral:lncRNA from 1 species